AAACUUAACGCAGGAGCAGCCCUUGUAGAGUGGUGCUGACAUUGGGAUUAGGAUCUGUUCUAUGAGACCGUGACCAGCUGAUAAAUUGAAGUGGUAAUUUGGGAUUUAACCAAACAGAGCAGUAAAUGUAUCAGAAUGAUGAAAAUCCAAGACGAGAAAAGACUGGAGGAACCAUACAAGUUGAAGUAAGAAAAAGAAAAGAAUAAUUGUUUCAACAUUCAAAUUUCUUCAUGGCUUGUACAAUGCAAAAUUUUUCCAAGUUUAGGAAGUAUAUGAGAACUAGAGAUUAGAAAAUGGAUGUGAAGUCCCCAAACAUCUCUGCAUCAACUAACUCCAAAACCCAGCACAGGAAGAAGGUGAGAAGACCCUGAGUCUGGAGAGAUUGGACUACAAAGCAAAAUGAACUGUUAUACAGACUUAGGUGGAAAGUAUACUCUCCUACCAAAAAAACCAGUUGUUUUCCUAUUUCUUUCUGCACUUAAUCCUAUCUUCAAUGUGCCCUUUUAAUUGACUUUAACACAAAUAUUAUGAAUAUGAAUUACAAGACAAUAUUAAAGGUAAAAGAAAACUUAAAAUGA
rnacentral:lncRNA from 10 species